rnacentral:rRNA from 1 species
GAUGAACGCUGGCGGCGUGCUUAACACAUGCAAGUCGAACGAAGCACUUUUAUUUGAUUUCUUCGGAAUGAAGAUUUUAGUGACUGAGUGGCGGACGGGUGAGUAACGCGUGGGUAACCUGCCUCAUACAGGGGGAUAACAGCCGGAAACGGCUGCUAAUACCGCAUAAUGCAUCGGAUUCGCAUGUUUCUGAUGCCAAAGAUUUUAUCGCUGAAAGAUGAGCUCGCGUCUGAUUAGCUAGUUGGCGGGGUAACGGCCCACCAAGGCGACGAUCAGUAGCCGGACUGAGAGGUUGAACGGCCACAUUGGGACUGAGACACGGCCCAG